AGAUUGAACGCUGGCGGCAGGCCUAACACAUGCAAGUCGAGCGGCAGCACGGGUACUUGUACCUGGUGGCGAGCGGCGGACGGGUGAGUAAUGCCUAGGAAUCUGCCUGGUAGUGGGGGAUAACGCUCGGAAACGGACGCUAAUACCGCAUACGUCCUACGGGAGAAAGCAGGGGACCUUCGGGCCUUGCGCUAUCAGAUGAGCCUAGGUCGGAUUAGCUAGUUGGUGAGGUAAUGGCUCACCAAGGCGACGAUCCGUAACUGGUCUGAGAGGAUGAUCAGUCACACUGGAACUGAGACACGGUCCAGACUCCGUACGGGAGCAGCAGGUGGGAAUAGUGGACAAGUGGGACAAAGCCUGACUCCAGCCAUCGCCGCGUGUGUAGAAG
rnacentral:rRNA from 1 species